CGUACGCCUCCUUCCUGAAUAAUCUCACGUAUUUGCAAAGGAGAAAACUCCUCCACUCCGCCGAAAAAACAAAUCCUCUGCAGCUUCACGGAACUUCACAUCGCCGCCCUGAACGCCGGCAUAUCAUCUAGCGAUGCUCACUGCUGAUCUUCCUCCCUCCAUCUGACGGCGUUCCUUCUACAUGAUUUUAUCACAAGAUGCAAGGUGGUCACCUCUAGCCGAUCUCUCUCUGGCAGCCAAUAUGAUGGGGAUGACCGAGUUUGAUCCUGUAGCAAUGCAUGAGCCCGUACUGAUUGAUUGAUGUUGUGCAGAUGCAUGGCAGCCGCCUGUCGCUGUGCGCCUUCACAAGCAGCGGCCAUUAUCUUUGCAAACCUAACGUCUCCUGUAGCGUUGUACGUACUGAUGUGGUCGGCCAGCCGGCCGGCCUGGACGCCUGAACUCGGAUUGAUCGAAUAGAGUUUCGAGUAUUAUCGGGUAAGCAAUGCGCCUCUCCUCUGCCCGGUCAUAUCCAGGAGAUUCUCCACCACUGAUGAUUGAUGGCAUCACUAAUAAACUUGCAUAUACAGUAUAGAUGGAGCCUUAUAGGGGCAUUGGUCAUCCGGUGAUUGAUUCUGCGCGCUUGGUCUCAUCUCAUCCUGGUGGCAUGAAGGAGAUGAUGUGGGGCCAUGGGUCUUGGUAUUUUCUUCCUUCAAUAAUUGCAUCGGCGCAUGUGAUUCCUCCAUGGAGGCUUAACCUGUUCUUGUGAUGAAGGAUUGGGAUGUGACUGAGUUGUCAUCGUGAUGCAACGGAGGGUUAAGACAAGUGAUGACGAGGAAAGGCGGAGGCUUGAUAUAGAUGCUACAGCUGUUGUGGCGGUGGUUGAAGCUUGCGAUUUGGAUGGUAGAAUUAUGUUAUGUUUACAAGGCCAGCAGUAUGGACUGAACUGGGAGAAGGAAGCAAUUAAUAAUUUAAUUGAGAAGGCAUAUGUGAAGCUGCAGUAUAUGAGCUAAUGUUUAGGAUCAACCUUCUUCUAAGGUCCAGUUCAGAAGAAGAAAAACAGCCUUCCAAGGUGUUACAUAUACUGUUAUCUAUGCAAUCCAAAUUGGGAUUCUCAUCUGGGUAAGCACAAAAAGCUGAACGUUUGGUAUUUUCUGGGUUAUAAUAUAUAUUUUCAUAAUGCAUAGAGAUCAUAGGAAAUAGUAUUUGAGAUAAGUUAACAACCCGUUAUGAGUUUACUAAUACUAUCUCACGCACAUCUGCCGAAUAUCCGUCACAAAUAUUUUUUGUGUUUUGAUGUGCACAUGACUAUAUAUACCUUCAAUAUAUUGGGCUAAUUCGUGAUAUGGAAUCUCCAAAAAGAAUGUGGUAUGAAGAUCACAAAAAUGUACAGACGUUUUUAUUUUAUAUUUUUUAUCUCAUACGUGAUAUGCACCAUAUAACAUCAUUUUUUCUGCUUCUAUUGUUAUAGUAUUAAUUGAAGCUGAAGAACAAUGAUCCCUGUCGUGUGAGUGGUCUUGCAAGAUGUGAAAAACAGUCUAAAUUUUGUACUAUUUCCCAUUUCAUGCUAGAGUCAAACAAUUCAAUCAAGUUUGAAUAUUUUUAAAUAGGUCCCUUAGGCAACUGCUUUUCUUAUGUACUGUGUUACGUGUCAGUUUUUAUAGAAAAGAGUAGUUGGCCGUUUGGCAUAUAAAUGAAGCAGUAUUCAUGAAAGCUACUCCCUCCGUUCCAAAAUAGAUGAUCCAAUUUUAUACUACUAAAGUUAGUACAAAGUUGAUAUAUCGAUUGAAAACAUGAAGUGACGGUGCAGAUAUCUUUGAUGCAAUCUAUUAUCAUUUCUUCUUCGUGGACCAAGGAAAACCACCGAUUAUAUUGUGUAGUAGCUUUUAAUUUGGUAUAAUAAAAUACUAUAUGCAUGUAUACUUCGGUUUCCGGGUUCAUGUGCAUGCAUUAACUAAUUAUUCUAUUUGUCGGGUAUGCUGCAAGUGUUAUCACAAAAAAAAAAGGUAUGUAAUGCGACCAAAUAAGGAAAGAAACCGACCAAUUGUCUCUGGGUGUUCUCUCAAAAAUUUUACAAUCCUGUAGAUUUUUUAUAUGUACAUGUCAAACAAAAAAAGUGAACUCAGACGAGAGGCCGCACAGGUCCAUCGUGUUUAAAUCUAUCAAACAAUGAAAAUAAAGCUUGCCUAAGUAAGGAAUACAACUUUAGUUUUAAUCAAAGAAACAAAUUCCAUAUUGGCAUUUCAAAAAGCAUGACAACCUUCACAAGAUGAAUGAUAAUGCUGCAAACAAGACACAUCAGAAUUCAAUAGCAUACAUAUGGAAGUGUAUGGAAAAUAUUUAAAAAAAAUAACUUAAUUUUUUAAAUCUAAAAAAUAUUUUCCAUUGAAAAAUUGCUAAUGAUUUUUCAUUUGCCACAAGUGCUAGCCCGUGCAGUUGCACGGGUUGAUGACUAGUGAGUUAAUAAUGAGAGAGGUAGUUUGAGUAACUUAGCUAGUUACUGUAACAUCACAUGUUUCAAUGUAAUAUGAGACUAUA